rnacentral:lncRNA from 1 species
CAGGUGAUUGUGUUAGUUUGCCCCUGAUGAGAAGAGCCUUCAGACCCUCACCGUGUUUAGGUUAUAGGAAAUAAUUUGAGAGCAAGUUAGUUUGACAUCUAAAAAAUAAGGGGCCACUGAAGUCCCAUGAAGUAAUUUUAUUUUUUAAUCUUGCAUUUAUAACUUGUUCUCACAGGGAGGAAACUUUUUUGCAUAGGAUAAAUCAUUGCUUUCCUCCCCACUCUCCCCAACCAGUUGAAGCAGAUGGCUGGGCCUUCUUGUUAAAUGGGAGUUUUUCCUUCCCACUGUCACCAAGUGCUUGCACAUAGGGGGUCUAGGGAGUCUGAUCGUUGGAGUUCUCCCUCUCUUUAGCUUAAAAACCUUACAGAGAGCCUUGAGGCAACAUUGCUGAACUGAACUGAAUUGCACAAUAACUAAAGAUACUACCUUAUGGGACUUUAAAGACUGUACAAUUAUGUCAAGUACCUCAUAGCUGUAAACCUAUGAAAACCUAAUCAUUAUUUCGCAUCCCAUCCAUGUUCAAAGUGGAGAACACAAAUUAAAUGGAUCAUUUUAAUAAGUUAAGAGUAACAUGAACAGCAGAUUGACAGCCAUUUCAAGAAUUGUGUUGUUUGUGUUUAUUGGCUUUGUUAUGUCUUAAUGUUUCAGUUUGGUUGCUUAGGAAUAGACGUGGCCAUUAAUGGGCUUGUUACCAUGGCUGAAAGCAACUGAUAUAGAAGCUGCUGCAUGUGUAGACAUGAGACUAGACUGCAAUUAUGUGAAUGAGAUGUUCAUGAAUGGAUUUCACUUGCGUGCUCAGGACUGAAUUGCCAUUGUCUAUCAUUUCCUUGUGUCUAGCUAUAUUUGCUGAGGUGCCCAAAAUCGGUGAAGAUUCAGCUCGUCGUCUUACCAGCCAUCCCGGUGGCCAGUGGGGGGACUAAAAUAGUACCCUGUCUGUUGCCAAGGUUACAACAUUGACAACAUGAUGUGGCCAUUCAUUCUCAAUACUGUAUCUCCCUGGCCUUCUGUGAGAAAGUGGCUGCUAAUCUUAGCCCUCAAUCUACCCGCCUGUCAAUGUGAAGAG